rnacentral:lncRNA from 10 species
AACCCUGUAUCUACUAAAAAUACAAAAAGUCAGUCAGGCAUGGUGGCAUGUGCCUGUAAUCCCAGCUACUUGGGAGGCUGAGGCAGGAGAAUCGCUUGAACCCAGGAGGCAGAGGUUACACUGAGCCGAGAUCAUACCAUUGCACUCCAGCUUGGGCAACAAGAGCAAAACUCUCUCUCAAAAAUAUACAUAUACACACACACAUAUAUAUAUAUACACAUACACACAUAUAUAUACAUCUAUAUAUAUAUAGAAACAUGUGAAGACCAAGAAAACAUGAGUACAACACAGCAGGGGUGGUCAUAGAUGGUUUAACCAUGGGCAUACACUUCCUAAUACGUAAUCAAUACACCAAUAUCAGAGACAACUGCAGAUGAAAGCAAAAGAAAAAUGGGUGAGAUGUGGAGUCCAGAAAUGUGAGUAUUAGUGCUGGGGUGGAUAUCACUGCAGAAAUGAAAAGGUACAGAACUAACACAUGUGAAACUCUCAACAAUGGGGAGAAAAAGACAAAUAGUGUGUGCCUACUCAUAUUGCCCCAAAAAUACUUGGCAAAUGUAAAUGGUUUCUGGUAUGAUUUGGAUAAACCCCUGAAGUCAUGCCCUCCCCCAGCAUGGCACUCCUGAGGGACAGGCUCCCUUUGAGCCUAUCGUGAUGAGCCUGAAUUGAACCACAUCUUGUCAAACAUGGAGGACUCUCCAUCUCACACCCAGUACAUAGGACCCGACGAUGUAACUAUGAAAGGAGAGAUAGCAGAGAUGAACAGCCAACACUAGCUCAGGACAACUAAGCACCUGACAGCCCACAGGAGAGUAAGAGACGGGGUUUCACUGUGUUAGCCAGGAUGGUCUCGAUCUCCAUACUUCC